GAGUAGCCGUGUGCGGUGAAAAUCGCACGCACGGUUUCGGAUGGGAGGGGUGAUGCAGUAAUGCACGCCUCGACCCUAC
rnacentral:ncRNA from 1 species